rnacentral:snRNA from 1 species
AUAACAUUUGGGCUGCUAUCUGAGCUAAGAUCAUGUGUAGCAUCUGUUCUUUGCAGUGUAAUUUCUGCAACCGCCUCUAAACUGAGACCAAUGAAAUUACAUGUAUUUUUCCCUUACGGACGGGUGCUGUGAGCUUGCUCAACCCCGUCCACGGGUCGGCCUCGUAUUGCAUUACCUUGAGGAUUGGCCCAUUUUUG